rnacentral:tRNA from 1 species
UCCCUGGUGGCUCAGACGGUAAAGCGUCUGCCUGCAGUGCAGGAGACCUAGGUUUGAUCCCUGGUUUGGGAA